CGGCGGACGGGUGAGUAACACGUGGAUAACCUACCUAUAAGACUGGGAUAACUUCGGGAAACCGGAGCUAAUACCGGAUAAUAUAUUGAACCGCAUGGUUCAAUAGUGAAAGACGGUUUUGCUGUCACUUAUAGAUGGAUCCGCGCCGCAUUAGCUAGUUGGUAAGGUAACGGCUUACCAAGGCAACGAUGCGUAGCCGACCUGAGAGGGUGAUCGGCCACACUGGAACUGAGACACGGUCCAGACUCCUACGGGAGGCAGCAGCC
rnacentral:rRNA from 1 species